CGGGUGAGUAAUGCGUCGGAACGUACCGAGUAAUGGGGGAUAACGCAGCGAAAGUUGUGCUAAUACCGCAUACGCCCUGAGGGGGAAAGCGGGGGAUCGUAAGACCUCGCGUUAUUCGAGCGGCCGACGUCUGAUUAGCUAGUUGGUGGGGUAAUGGCUCACCAAGGCGACGAUCAGUAGCGGGUCUGAGAGGAUGAUCCGCCACACUGGGACUGAGACACGGCCCAGACUCCUACGGGAGGCAGCAGUGGGGAAUUUUGGACAAUGGGGGCAACCCUGAUCCAGCCAUUCCGCGUGAGUGAAGAAGGCCUUCGGGUUGUAAAGCUCUUUCAGCUGGAGUGAAACGGUACGCUCUAACAUAGCGUGCUAAUGACGGUACCAGCAGAAGAAGCACCGGCUAACUACGUGCCAGCAGCCGCGGUAAUACGUAGGGUGCGAGCGUUAAUCGGAAUUACUGGGCGUAAAGCGUGCGCAGGCGGAUUGUUAAGCAAGACGUGAAAUCCCCGGGCUUAACCUGGGAAUGGCGUUUUGAACUGGCAGUCUAGAGUGUGUCAGAGGGGGGUAGAAUUCCACGUGUAGCAGUGAAAUGCGUAGAGAUGUGGAGGAAUACCGAUGGCGAAGGCAGCCCCCUGGGAUAACACUGACGCUCAUGUACGAAAGCGUGGGUAGCAAACAGGAUUAGAUACCCUGGUAGUCCACGCCCUAAACGAUGUCAACUGGUUGUUGGGGGAGUGAAAUCCCUUAGUAACGAAGCUAACGCGUGAAGUUGACCGCCUGGGGAGUACGGUCGCAAGAUUAAAACUCAAAGGAAUUGACGGGGACCCGCACAAGCGGUGGAUGAUGUGGAUUAAUUCGAUGCAACGCGAAAAACCUUACCUACCCUUGACAUGUCCAGAACCCUGAAGAGAUUUGGGGGUGCCCGAAAGGGAAUUGGAACACAGGUGCUGCAUGGCUGUCGUCAGCUCGUGUCGUGAGAUGUUGGGUUAAGUCCCGCAACGAGCGCAACCCUUAUCAUUAGUUGCUACGCAAGGGCACUCUAAUGAGACUGCCGGUGACAAACCGGAGGAAGGUGGGGAUGACGUCAAGUCCUCAUGGCCCUUAUGGGUAGGGCUUCACACGUCAUACAAUGGUCGGUACAGAGGGUUGCCAAGCCGCGAGGUGGAGCCAAUCCCAGAAAGCCGAUCGUAGUCCGGAUUGUUCUCUGCAACUCGAGAGCAUGAAGUCGGAAUCGCUAGUAAUCGCGGAUCAGCAUGUCGCGGUGAAUACGUUCCCGGGUCUUGUACACACCGCCCGUCACACCAUGGGA
rnacentral:rRNA from 1 species